AUAGCAUAAUAAAAAUCUAAUUUUUCUAGACAAAGUAUCCUUAGUAAAAUUACAAACUGGUAAUUUUUUAUGUUUAUUUAUUUAUUUUGAGAGAGAGAGAGAGAGAGAGAGAGAGAGAAUGUGAGCAUGAGUGAGGGAGGGGCAGAGAGAGAGAAGGAGAGAGAGAAUUCCAAGCAUGUUCUGUGCUGUCAGUGCAGGGACUAUGAGAUCAUGACCUGAGCUGAGAUCAAGAGCGGGACACAACCAACUGAGCCAUUCAAGUGCCCCUACAAAUGCUAAUUUUUAUAAUUAUCAUUACUGAAUUUAUGCUGAAAAAUAUUCAGGUUGGAAAUGUUUGAGAGCUGAAGGAAACCUGUAGCUCUGAUUAGAAUGAACUUAGAUUAUACAGAAGGCCUGCCCUACAAUUAUACAUGUGCCGACAUUAAAACUCAGAGAAGCAGCAGCCCAUGGUACAAGGACUAAGUGGAAGCUUAAUAUAAUAUAAUAUAAUGGAAACCAUAUGGUGCAUGGGCAGGCAGCCCCUUGCCGUGGAUACUACGUUGUUCUCACCACAUUAAUGUACACACUGAAGACCAACCAAGGGAGGUGCCAAAUUAUAAACUUCAUCAUGGUAGGAUGGAAAAAAAACAUUGAUGGAGGCAGAGAAAACAGACACAGGAGAAAACACUCAAGUUAAAGACAGAAAAAGAGAAAUAACUACAGAGCCAUGGAAGAUAAAUCAUUAUUUGGAUUAAUGGCCUUUAUGUUGUGGAGUUUAUUGAAAGAAGCACAUAUGUGUGGAAAUCUAUUAAAAAGAAAAGUUAUCUGCAAUUUAUUUUAAUUAAACAAAAUGAAAAGAGUGAACAUGAAAAAGUAUGUGGAAAAAAUCACAAUAAAAACUGUUAAAUAAGAAGUAACUUCUUAGCA
rnacentral:lncRNA from 1 species